GGUUUGAUCCUGACAGGUCGAACGCUGGCGGGAUGUUACAUGCAAAUCCGAACGGCAGCACGGACUUCGGUCUGGUGGCGAGUGGCGAACGGGUGAGUAAUAUCCCGGAACGUGCCUAGUAGCGGGGAUAACUACGCGAAAGCGUAGCUAAUGCCGCAUACCACGCCCCGCUUCAGGGAAAGCGGGGGGACCUUCGGGCCUCGCACUAUUAAGUGACCGAUAUCGGAUUAGCUAGUUGGUGGGGUAACGGCUCACCAAGGCGACGAUCCGUAGCUGGUUUGAGAGGACGACCAGCCACACUGGGACUGAGACUGACCCAGACUCCUACAAGGGAGGCAGCAGUGGGGAAUUUUGGACAAUCAGGAAACCUGAUCCAGCCAUCCCGCGUGUGCGACAAGAAGGCCUUCGGUUGUAAAGCACUUUUGGCAGGAAAGAAACGGCACGGGAUAAUACCCCGUGCAACUGACCAGUACCUGCAGAAUAAGCACCGGCUAACUACGUGCCAGCAGCCGCGGUAAUACGUAGGGUGCAAGCGUUAAUCGGAAUUACUGGGCGUAAAGCGUGCGCAGGCGGUUCGGAAAGAAGAUGUGAAAUCCCAGGCUUAACUGGAACUGCAUUUUCCGCUACCGAGCUAGAGUGUGUCAGGGGUGAAUUCCCGCGUGUAGCAGUGAAAUGCGUAGAUAUGCGGAGGAACACCGAUGGCGAAGAGCAGCCUCCUGGGAUAACGCUGACGCUUAUGCACAGCGUGGGAGCAAACCAGGAUUAGAUACCCUGGUAGUCCACGCCCUAAACGAUGUCAACUGGCCUGUUGGGGCCUUCGGGCCUUGGUAGGUAUGCUUGCGUGAAGUUGACGCCUGGAAUUACAGUCGCAAGAUUAAAACUCAAGGAAUAAGCGGGGACCCGCACAAGCGGUGGAUGAUGUGGAUUAAUUCGAUGCAACGCGAAAAACCUUACCUACCCUUGACAUGUCUGGAAUCGAAGAGAUUUAGGAGUGCUCGCAAAGCCGGAACACAGGUGCUGCAUGGCUGUCGUCAGCUCGUGUCAUUGAGAUGUUGGGUUAAGUCCACACGGCAGGCGCAACCCUUGUCAUUAGUUGCCUGAAAGGGCACUCAUGGGGCUGCGGUGACAAACCGGAGGAAGGUGGGGAUGACGUCAAGUCCUCAUGGCCCUUAUGGGUAGGGCUUCACACGUCAUACAAUGGUCAGGACGGAGAAUUCACUUAACCCCGCGAGGGCCAAUCCCGAAGCUGAUCAUCCCAGUCCGGAUCGCGGUCUGCAACUCGACUGCGUGAAGUCGGAAUCGCUGUGUCGCGGAUCAGCAUGUCGCGGUGAAUACGUUCCCGGGUCUUGUACACACCGCCCGUGCACACCAUGAGUGGGUUUACAGAAAGUAGUUAGCCUAACCGUAAGGAGGGCGAUUACCACGGUAGGAUUCAUGACUGGGGUGAAGUCGUAACAAAAGGCCAG
rnacentral:rRNA from 1 species